UCAUCAUCUGUCUAGUCUAAUCAAUUUUUUUGAUCUGAAUGGUAUUUUGGUGCUUCAGUGUUUCUGAGAUAGGCAUUUUAAUUCAUAACAUGAUAUUUCAAAGGUUGUUGAAUCUACUUUAUAGCUAUUGGUAUGUUCGUUGUAGGGCCGUUGUAUCUGGAUUGAUCCCAUUCAAAAGUCAGAGGAAGAAGAAGAAGAAGUUGAAGAAGAGGAGAAAGUAGAUGAGUCAGAUGAACCACAGCAAGAAGUGGGACCCCCUCUUUUAACCCCACUCUCUGAAGAUACAGAAAUUCAGAACAUCCCUCCUUGGACAGCUCAGUUAUCUACAAAUCUGGUUCCUCAAUAUGCCAUUGCAGUUAUUCAGUCCAAUCUGUGGCCCGGAGCAUAUGCCUUUGCUACUGGCAAGAAAUUUGAUAAUAUCUAUCUGGGCUGGGGUCAUAAAUAUAGUCCAGAUAACUACAGCCCCCCACUACCUCCACCAGUGCAGGCAGAAUACCCUAGUGGUCCAGAAAUCACUGAGAUGAGUGACCCUACUGUAGAAGAGGAGCAGGCACUCCGGGCUGCACAAGAAGAAGCUUUGGCUGCAGCUGAGGAAAUGGAAGAGAUGGAAGAAGAAGAGGAUGAUGAUGAGGAUGAUUAAAAUGCUAGAAGAAUGAGAGAUGUAUACUUUUUCAGAAAUAUCUGAAUAGUUUUUAAAUAAAUUUAUUAUAAUUGAAGCACUCUCAAAAGAUAUGUAUAUGGAGAAGCCCACUUAAAAUAGAUGCUUUGUUUUACUGUU